ncrna:unclassified sequences L2-Alphaproteobacteria ribosomal protein leader
GGGGACCUUUGGGGCCCUAAACAUCGGCGGUCUAUAAAGAUACGCUAAGCAAACGGAAGACAGAAA